GCGUUUGCUCGCCCAGGUGAGGAUGAGUGUCAGAGAGUCGAGAUGUUCUUCAAGCAGUCAGAAUAUGUUCACCACAGAGCAAUGCGGAAAAUUUGGAUGAGCCUAAAUGAACAACAGAAACAAGACGCCAUUCCAAACAAAGCUGAUGUCAAUCCUUUCUUCAGCAAUACAUUUGGGCUACAUGUGGCUAUCCUGACAGACGAAGGCCCAGGGAAUCCACAAUACUUCGUGUUUCCACAGCGUGCAAAACGUGCCGGGAUGUCUGCCCCUGGUGCCUUUACUUGUGGAGCCGUGGAAAGCGCAUCAACUCCUGACAUCAAAGGUGAGGGCACUUCAAGAAGAGUGGAUCUAGUCAAUACAGCAGUACGCGGUUUACGGGAAGAACUUGGUCUGGAGUUGUCUGGAUCUGACACAGAAGCCGUUUGUUUGACCACAAUCUAUUUAAAAACUGACACCCACGAGUGGGGUCUGUGCGGGUUCGUGGACCUGACGGACGAUCGGAUCAAACCAGAAAACCAUAUCAGUGCCGACAACCUGAAAGACCGCUUUUCUAGCGGACCAAAGGACAAAUUCGAGCACCAGACUCUGACAUUUGUCAAGUUCACGUUAGAAGAUAUGGUGGACUUUGUGUUUGAAAACCACGACAAUUUUGCCAGUUCCGCCAAGCUAGUCGUCGUGAAGGUGCUACAAGCGUUCUUUGGAUGGUCGAGAGUCCAAAGGGAGUUUGAGUCGAGAAAGGUUACUUCCUAGAAAUAAAAAAGAACCGCUUCCAUUGUACGGUGAGCUUGCGAGAACGUUUUCCACGUUGCUAUUUUUUGAGUACCAUAAAUGUAUACGUAUUACCUCAGAAUAUCCAUGUUUGUUUUCAUACAUACACAAGUAUUAACAUAUUUUCCAUGUGAACCAUGUCAUUCAAAGGAAUUGAAAACGGAUCGGCGAUUAAUGUUGGUUGUGAUAUGAUGGUUAAGGUUUUGGAAGUGACAAUAUCUAUGAUGAACUUAGAUAUAAAUGGAAAGACAAAAUGUUAAGAAACCUAUUGUAAUCAUGGCAUGAAGCAAAAAAUGCCUAUGGUCUUUGUGAAAAAUGCACGUAUAGAACAAAAACAUUUUUACAAGCUGACACUGUUCAUGAUGUAUAUGUUGGUGAUAGCCUUGAAUCACAAAAGGCAAAGUUCGAUGAAUGUCUGACGAAAUUUUAACAAAUAAUGUCGUCACUGAAAUCAUUAAGCACAAAAUUAUCUUUAUUUAUGCACACAUUUAUAAUGUUUGCUCAUGAUUUUUGUAGAAUGAUUUAUCACAAAUAAAUUAUUAAAGCUUG
rnacentral:misc_RNA from 1 species